rnacentral:rRNA from 1 species
GACGAACGCUGGCGGCGUGCUUAACACAUGCAAGUCGAACGGAAAGGCCCUGCUUUUGUGGGGUGCUCGAGUGGCGAACGGGUGAGUAACACGUGAGUAACCUGCCCUUGACUUUGGGAUAACUUCAGGAAACUGGGGCUAAUACCGGAUAGGAGCUCCUGCUGCAUGGUGGGGGUUGGAAAGUUUCGGCGGUUGGGGAUGGACUCGCGGCUUAUCAGCUUGUUGGUGGGGUAGUGGCUUACCAAGGCUUUGACGGGUAGCCGGCCUGAGAGGGUGACCGGCCACAUUGGGACUGAGAUACGGCCCAGACUCCUACGGGAGGCAGCAGGGGGGAAUAUUGCACAAUGGGCGGAAGCCUGAUGCAGGAACGCCGCGUGCGGGAUGACGGCCUUCGGGUUGGAAACCGCUUUCGCCUGGGACGAAGCGUGAGUGACGGUAAUGGGUAAAGAAACACCGGCUAACUACGU